GCGUUGAUGGUGUAGGGGUUAAGUGCACGACCAUGUAGAGAGGCUACAGUCCUCGAAGCAGCGGUCCCGGGUUCGAGUCCCGGACCCAGCGAU